CAGUACUCUCAUGAUGGUUUUCUCGAAAUGGUAGUAUAACCAUUGUCUGCUGUGGGCUAUUGGAAUGUCCCCCAGACCCCCGCUAACACUUUUCCUUCACAAAACUUCUACCUCUCCAGACUUACAUGGUCCUUUUAGGAAAAGGAUAAUAAAAUCGUCUUCUACGUAGUAGGUAUUUGCAGAGAACAUAGUACCUGGAACAUCCCCCAGCGAGGGAAGGAAGUUUCGAUGACAUAAGACUCAGUGCUCUCACGAUGUCUUUCUGGAAAUGGCACCAUCGCCGUGUGCCGGAGGGGGUUAAGUGUUCCUAGGAAUGAAAAUUUUUAUUGGAAUUUGUUUUUAAUCUCCAGCAGUGGUCCCCAAACUAUGGUCCGCGGACCCAAACCGAUCUGCUAGCAUCACCAAUUCGCCCCCUUUCUAUACAAACAAGAGAUGGCACUGGCACUAGCAACUUUGCAUCAUUCCAAUUGGCUGCUAGGGAGGUCUGGAGGAAAUUGAGGAGCAAUUAACAUGGUUGAAAAGUUUGGAGACCCCUGUCCUAGAGAAUCUUCUUGGAUUCUCUGUCCUUUUAAAGGUUUUGCACAGGAAAUGCUCAUCAAGAAAUAAUACACUGUACAUAUAAUGUAUUUACUAGUGAUGCAAUACUAAUCCUAAACACUUACACCUUUUAUGUAAGUCCCAACACGUUACUCGGUUAAACUUGAACACCUAACAUGUAAAAGAGAGAAUACCUCACCGCCGUUUACUCUUAAAGAAUUUAUUGGCACAAAGUGUUUGUGUCCUCAUGAUGUUUACACGACACAAUACUUAAAGUAACGAAAAUACGAUGAUUAAACUUAAACUACACUAUACACCUUGGUCACACCAUCGUUCGACUUGUGGGCCCCGCGACUUUAUCCAACAACUGCAACAGUAAACGUGUCAAACUUGCUCGCGAAUCAACGAACAUUAACUUACCAUACUAAUACCGGGCAUAUUUAGUACCGUGCCCAGCAGCGGCACCCUCCUCAAGAAAUUGACGGCGACUGGGAAAAAUCCGCUAAACAACAGCACAAAACCGUACGACUCGAGCAGCAUGCCGACCAGCGGCCACCCGACCAAAACUAUAA